UGACGGUACCUGACUAAGAAGCUCCGGCUAAAUACGUGCCAGCAGCCGCGGUAAUACGUAUGGAGCAAGCGUUAUCCGGAUUUACUGGGUGUAAAGGGAGCGCAGACGGUUUGCCAAGUCUGAUGUGAAAGCUAGGGGCUCAACCCCUAAACUGCAUUGGAAACUGGUAGACUAGAGUGUCGGAGAGGUAAGUGGAAUUCCUAGUGUAGCGGUGAAAUGCGUAGAUAUUAGGAGGAACACCAGUGGCGAAGGCGGCUUACUGGACGAUAACUGACGUUGAGGCUCGAAAGCGUGGGGAGCAAACAGGAUUAGAUACCCUG
rnacentral:rRNA from 1 species